AAAAAAAAAAAAAAAAAAAAUUUAAAAAAAAAAAAAAAAAAAAAAAAAAAAAAAAAUAAAAAAAAAAAAAAAAAAAAAAAAAAAAAAAAAAACAAAAAAAAUAAAAAAAAAAAAAAAAAAAAAAAAAAAAAAAAAAAAAAUUUAAAAAAAAAAAAAAAAAAAAAAAAAAAAAAAAAAAAAAAAAAAAAAAAAAAAAAAGAAACAAAAAAAAAAAUAAAAAAAA
rnacentral:lncRNA from 1 species